AGCUGCUGAGGCUGUCUACUACAGCCCUAACCAAUGUACAGUGAGAGACACCGUCUGCCACUGUCUGCCUAACCUAACUGGGGCAUGAGGCUUCAAAGCCAAGUGUUUCAGGGGGAAGAAAAAAUGAAGACAGGCAAACAACUACAGGAGGAGAAAGGGCUGAGGUACUUGCUGCUUUCCAGACUCCAUUUUCUCUCUGCUUAGUGAAGAAUAACAUCCCUGUGUUCCAAGAGUCGCCCCAAGCUAGCAGUGUGACCAACAAG
rnacentral:lncRNA from 1 species